rnacentral:lncRNA from 1 species
CUCCUUACCAAUACAUUGCAUCCGUGACCCAAUCCAGUCCGAUCUAUUUAAAUCCAAUCCGACCAAUUUAAAAAGAUCCACGAUGUAAUACCCGGCUUGUUGGCCCUUAAACCCAAAAGCUCCAAAAAAAAUAAUAAUAAAAGCUAGGAUUGAUAGAAUCUGAUUUAAGAGUAUAGUAAAGAUAGUAUAAAAAUUAAGAUCCUUAUUGGUAAAAGAGUGAGGGG